GCAAGAUAAACAAGAGUUUUGCCAAAUAUGAUUCGACCGCGGUUUCGCGAUCAGAGCCGAGAGCAAAGUUCUCUUUACCAUUCGUUUGUGUUCCACGUAAAAUGUAAAUCAUUAUCCAUCCACGCGGUAGGUUAUAUAUUUAUAAAGUAUUGGAGGAACAAUUCGAACGCCAUUAAACAUGCAUCACGGUGUCGAUACUGUGGGCGAAACGCUUCGGGGAUCUAAACUCCGAGGUUAAACUCUCGGCAUUCUGUGACGACUAAUUUGUGCGUGACCUCAGCUACGAUUCACGUCGACGAUCGUGACGUCACAUCCAACAACUACCAACGCGGCAGACGUUGGAUCCGAAAUAGUCUUGGUCGUCUUGGAGGCACGCCGAUCGAUCUUCGCUUCCAAAACCGUUUUGUCGGGCAAAUUUUGUCGGAGUUGUUCUUUGCAGUCGCUCUGUUGCAUCGAUAACUAAACUACAGUCACAGACGAUGAUAAGAAUAUGAAAAUUUUGCGAAGUAAACAUUUCACAUUGUGCGUUGAUUCUCGUUUUAAUUGUCAUUGAAUAAUGGGGCGCGAGAUUUUAAUCCAGUCUUGAGGAAAUCCGUAAAAUUGGCAUUUCCUGUCGCUGACCCCACGGAACAAACUUCAAACUUGCGCAGCAGUCAACGCCAAUUGGACAGACUUACCGUGGCUCAUUCUGAUACCUAUUCAAAUGCGCCUCUGAAAUGGGAGCAAUGAAAAUACGUGCAACACAAGAAUAUAUCUCCAUGUAAAUCAAGCACACCACACUUAUUCAAUUCUGCUAGGAGCAC